GAUUAAAAAAAGACCGAAUACGAAUCCUAUAUUCGGUCCAGGGAAAUGGCUCUUGGGAUAGAGCCGUGCGCUAAAAGUUGGCAUUUCAUGCAGGCUUAUUAAGCCGUACCACUUAAGCGUAGUAGACGACCCACAUUUUACCAAUUU
rfam:Yersinia ruckeri strain 37551 YRO1b0000016, whole genome shotgun sequence.